GAAAAUAUUUAAUUGAAGGUUUCGCUAAGGGCAGUGGCACCUGGAGAGCCAUCCCUUGCACUCUCAAGUAGUCAUUUACCAUAGCAGAACCCAGGCCUUAAGAGCCGGCUGAGCUAGGCACAAAGUUUAUUUAUGGACAUCUGAGGUGGCCGAAGCUGUAAUCCACUCCAAGUACCUAAUCUAGAUCUCCCAUGCUGCAAUUUAAAUCAAUUUAUAUCUCUUUCACAGUCAGCCUGGAGGACACAUUACUCUUUUUAGUCCAAUAUUUGCCUUAUAUUUGUUAUUUUCUCCUGUAGACUAAUCAACUGUAUUUUCUCACAAACCAUGUCAUUAGACCUUUAAUAACUUGAUGAUCUCUUUGAAAUUCUCUCCAGGCAGUCCAUAUCUUGCUUCAAGGAAUUUGCUCAGUUUAUAUAUGUUUGAAGUACAGUUUCAACUAGAACAAAAGUGUUUGUUGUUUUUUUUUAAUGUUAUUGUAUUCCUGUUUAAAUUUCAAGUAGAAUGUUGAUCUAUUUUCUGCAAUAACAUACUUGAUAACUGCAGUAAGCCAGGAGUUAUUGUCUGCUAUAAUUCUGCUCCUCUGAACUACUGUGUAACUAGUUGUUAUCAUUAUGUAUUUGUGCAGCUUAUUAUUCCUACACUUCCUAGGUUUUCACUCCAUUUUUUCAUACAUUUUUCCUUAUUUUUUCAAACCUAUAUAUAUUUCUUUUUCUUUCAGGCAAGCAAAAGCCAUGUAUUCCUGUAAGGCUGAGCAUAGUCAUGAGCUGUCUUUCCCACAGGGGGCAAUAUUUUCCAAUGUGUAUCCAUCAGUAGAACCAGGCUGGUUAAAAGCAACUUACGAAGGCAAAACAGGACUCGUUCCUGAGAAUUAUGUUGUCUUCCUCUAGUAAUCUUCAGUGGACAGCAAUAUCUUCAUGGUAUCCAUGGUAACAAAUAAUAAGCACUAUGAUUUUUAUCUGACACAGAUAUGGGAUCAGCCCGUUAGCUGAGCGUGGUAGAUUUCCUUCAGAUACUGCAGCUGCAGGUUAUAUAGCUCCCUAUCAACGGAACAGAAUGUAAUGAAACAGUUAACAGUUACUGUACUGAAGACGGUACUCUGUUUAAAUAACUUCCAUUGUUUGCAAAAGGUUGUUCUGUUCUUCUUUUAUGGGUAAGGAACACUACAGAAAUAAAAUCAAAAAAGUUGCCAUUUAGCUGCAGACCUUCAGGUUCUCGGAUGUUGCUCAGAGAAGUGUGAAAUUUAGAGGCAAUGCACUCUGUGACAUUUCUUACAAUCUGUUUCUUUUAAUAUGAAAAAUUGUGGUUUUUUUCCUAAUGUAAGUAAUGUUUCUAUUGUGAUCUGAAUGCUCCCAUAGAAAAAUCAAUUCUGAGAUUAGUCCUAAUCAUUUCAAAUAAGAAAUGAGUCUUCCAUAAAUCAGAAGUUUGAACUUGUUAGUCACUGAGAUUACAAUAUGUUAUAGAAUUUAUGUAACUGAUAAUGAAAUCAGAUUAUACACUGCCUGAGCAGUAAGUGCUCAUUCAAAAUGUGAUGUGUUUAAUGAAUGUUUCAUUCAAGUACUUCUUAGAUUUAUUUCCUCCUUUCUAUAUCAAUAUAAAUAAGAAUAAUAAUAACUAGUAUUUCUGUAAUAGCAGUCAGGUGGAAGAUACUCUCGGUGUAUCUCAGAGCAACAGCAGUAGAAAACAAGGAAAUACUCAAUCUGGAAUGAUGGGUAGAUAUGAAGUGAGCAAUGAAAAGCAGCAAUAUGUUUUGAAACCUUAGAUAAAAAGUAACUAAGUCCUUUUCAAGUUUUUUUUUCCAUUUCAAAUAAGACAAAAGUACUUAGCAUUAUUUCUUCUGACUUCCACUAAAUUAUUUGGCAAAUGUUCCUCCGUUACAUGGGAUUAAAAAAAAAAUGAAAAAAAAUAAAAUAAAAUAACCUUGGUUGAUAAAGAUUUUGUAAAUACCCAUUGUCUGCUCUUGGUGGGCCUGGAAAAAAAAAGAAAAAAAAAGAAAAGAAGAUAUAAGCAGCUUCCUAAAU